GAUGAACGCUGGCGGCGUGCCUAACACAUGCAAGUCGAACGGAAAGGCCCUGCUUUUGUGGGGUGCUCGAGUGGCGAACGGGUGAGUAACACGUGUGUAACCUGCCCUUAUCUUUGGGAUAACUUCACGAAAAUGGGGCUAAUAUCGCAUAGGAGCUCCUGCUCCGUGGGGGGGGAUGGAAAGUUUCGGCGGUUGGAGAUGGACUCGCGGGUUAUGAGCUUGUUGGUGGGGUAGGUGAUUUCCACGGCUUUGAAGGGUAGCCGGCCUGGGAGGGGGGCCAGGCACAUUGGGCCUGAGAUAGGGACCAGACGCGUACGGGAGGCAGAGGUGGGAAAUAUUGCACAAUGAGCCCGAGUCUGAUGCGAAGACGCCGCGUGCGUAAAGACCGCCUUCGGGGUAAAAACCGCUGUCGCCUGUGACGAAGCGGUAGUGACGGUACUGAGUAAAGAAGCACCGGCUAACUACGUG
rnacentral:rRNA from 1 species